rnacentral:rRNA from 1 species
UACGUAGGGUCCGAGCGUUGUCCGGAAUUACUGGGCGUAAAGAGCUCGUAGGUGGUUUGUCGCGUUGUUCGUGAAAACUCACAGCUCAACUGUGGGCGUGCGGGCGAUACGGGCAGACUGGAGUACUGCAGGGGAGACUGGAAUUCCUGGUGUAGCGGUGGAAUGCGCAGAUAUCAGGAGGAACACCGGUGGCGAAGGCAGCUCGCUGGGACGUUACUGACACUGAGAUGCGAAAGCGUGGGGAGCAAACAGG